rnacentral:rRNA from 1 species
AUUGAACGCUGGCGGCAGGCCUAACACAUGCAAGUCGAACGGUAGCACAGAGAGCUUGCUCUCGGGUGACGAGUGGCGGACGGGUGAGUAAUGUCUGGGAAACUGCCCGAUGGAGGGGGAUAACUACUGGAAACGGUAGCUAAUACCGCAUAACGUCGCAAGACCAAAGUGGGGGACCUUCGGGCCUCACACCAUCGGAUGUGCCCAGAUGGGAUUAGCUAGUAGGUGGGGUAAUGGCUCACCUAGGCGACGAUCCCUAGCUGGUCUGAGAGGAGGACCAGCCACACUGGAACUGAGACACGGUCCAGGCUCCUACGGGAGGCAGCAGUGGGGAAUAUUGCACAAUGGGCGCAAGCCUGAUGUAGCCAUGCCGCGUGUAUGAAGAAGGCCUUCGGGUUGUAAAGUACUUUCAGCGGGGAGGAAGGCGGUGAAGUUAAUAACUUCACCGAUUGACGUUACCCGCAGAAGAAGCACCGGCUAACUCCGUGCCAGCAGCCGCAGUAA